AACUGCUCCACCUCUCCCACCUCCUCUCCAGCUUUGACAUUCCGGUCCACUUCGUCGGCAGUGCCACCCACAACCGCCAAGCCAAACUCCGGCGGGUUCACAACGAUGAAACCAGCCACCCAAUCCAAUUCCACGACUUUGACAUCCUUCCAUAUCCAUGUCCUCCACCGAAUCCGACCGCAACCCAUAAAUUCCCCUCCCACCUCAUUCCCUCCUUUACUGCCGCUGCCAACCACCUCCAUCGCCCUCUUGCCACAUUCCUCCACACCCUCUCGUCAAAAGCAAAACGUGUGGUCGUCAUCCAUGACUCGCUAAUGUCAUCUGCCUUACAAGGUGUGGACACCAUUUCCAACACUGAAUCCUACACCUUCCACACUGUAUCCGCCUUCGCCGUCGCUCUCCAUAGCUUGGAGCGUCAAGGGCUUGUAAUCGGCUCAAGCAACGAUAAAACAACGACGCUUUACUAUGGAUGUUUUGCUAAGGA
rnacentral:misc_RNA from 1 species